ACCUGGCUGGCUCAGUGGGUAGAGCAUGUGAUUCUUGAUCUCAGGGUCAUGAGUUCAAGCCCCAGGUUGGGUG
rnacentral:tRNA from 1 species